UCUCCGUUGGUGAACCAGCGGAGGGAUCAUUACCGAGUUUUCAACUCCCAAACCCCAUGUGAACUUAUACCAUUUACAACCGUUGCUUCGGCGGGUUCUCGCCCCGGGCUUUACACCCCGGAACCAGGCGGCCCGCCGGGGGACCCAAACUCUAGAUUUUUAUUUUAGCAUGUCUGAGUGGAAUCAUUACAAAAUGAAUCAAAACUUUCAACAACGGAUCUCUUGGUUCUG
rnacentral:misc_RNA from 1 species